GGGAGAGCAGGCGGCUGAUGGCAGCCAAGGGUGCUGACAUGGCACAGCUUUCAGCAUGUGCUGGACUCCAGUAUGGACUUUGUCUUCACAGCCAAAAAACCCAGUUUUGAUACAGAAAGGCUG
rnacentral:lncRNA from 12 species